GCAACAUAAAAUCUAUUUAUAUAGAUUUUGAUGGCGACCGGCGUACGGGUGCGUAACACGUAUGUAACCUACCUUUUGCUAGAAAAUAGCCUGAGGAAACUCGGAUUAAUGUUCUAUAGUAUAAUAAAAUCGCAUGAUUUGUAUUAUUAAAGUAGAAAUACGGCAAAAGAUGGGCGUGCGUCCGAUUAGUUAGUUGGUAAGGUAAAGGCUUACCAAGAUUAUGAUCGGUAGGGGGCCUGAGAGGGUGAUCCCCCACACUGGUACUGAGACACGGACCAGACUCCUACGGGAGGCAGCAGUGAGGAAUAUUGGUCAAUGGAGGCAACUCUGAACCAGCCACGCCGCGUGCAGGAAGAAUGCCUUACGGGUUGUAAACUGCUUUUAUUUAGGAAUAAAAAUUUUUACGUGAUAAAAAUUGUGAAUGUACUAAACGAAUAAGUGUCGGCAAACUCCGUGCCAGCAGCCGCGGUAAUACGGAGGACACAAGCGUUAUCCGGUUUUAUUGGGUUUAAAGGGUGCGUAGGCGGUUUAUUAAGUCAGUAGUGAAAUAUUGCAGCUUAACUGUUUAAAAUGGCUAUUGAUACUGAUAGACUUGAGUGAGAUUGGAGUAACUGGAAUGUGUGGUGUAGCGGUGAAAUGCAUAGAUAUCACACAGAACAUCGAUCGCGAAAGCAGGUUACUAAGUCUAUACUGACGCUGAGGCACGAAAGCGUGGGGAGCAAACAGGAUUAGAUACCCUGGUAGUCCAC
rnacentral:rRNA from 2 species